GAUGAAGAACGUAGUGAAAUGCGAUAAGUAAUGUGAAUUGCAGAAUUCAGUGAAUCAUCGAAUCUUUGAACGCACAUUGCGCCCCCUGGUAUUCCGGGGGGCAUGCCUGUCCGAGCGUCAUUACAACCCUCAAGCUCAGCUUGGUGUUGGGCCCCGCCGCCCCGGCGGGCCCUAAAGUCAGUGGCGGUGCCGUCCGGCUCCGAGCGUAGUAAUUCUUCUCGCUCUGGAGGUCCGGUCGUGUGCUCGCCAGCAACCCCCAAUUUUUUUCAGGUUGACCUCGGAUCAGGUAGGGAUACCCGCUGAACUUAAGCAUAUCAAUAACGGAGGA
rnacentral:misc_RNA from 1 species